rnacentral:rRNA from 1 species
GAUGAACGCUGGCGGCGUGCCUAAUACAUGCAAGUCGAGCGAACAGACGAGGAGCUUGCUCCUCUGACGUUAGCGGCGGACGGGUGAGUAACACGUGGAUAACCUACCUAUAAGACUGGGAUAACUUCGGGAAACCGGAUCUAAUACCGGAUAAUAUAUUGAACCGCAUGGUUCAAUAGUGAAAGACGGUUUUGCUGUCACUUAUAGAUGGAUCCGCGCCGCAUUAGCUAGUUGGUAAGGUAACGGCUUACCAAGGCGACGAUGCGUAGCCGACCUGAGAGGGUGAUCGGCCACACUGGAACUGAGACACGGUCCAGACUCCUACGGGAGGCAGCAGUAGGGAAUCUUCCGCAAUGGGCGAAAGCCUGACGGAGCAACGCCGCGUGAGUGAUGAAGGUCUUCGGAUCGUAAAACUCUGUUAUUAGGGAAGAACAAAUGUGUGAGUAACUAUGCACGUCUUGACGGUACCUAAUCAGAAAGCCACGGCUAACUACGUG